GAAUAGUCAAGCUAAGGAAUUUGAACACUACUUUAUGCACAGUGAUGAGGGGAGUGGAGGGUUCUGAGUAGAAGGGGGUGGGUGAGAAUGAUGUUCACAGCGUUGCUGAUUUUUAAUUAUUAUAUUCAACAGACAUAAAUUAUAAUCCAAUGAAUAUAGUGUGGCAGUUUUUCACAAAAGACAAAAUAUGGAAGCAACCCGAGGGUCCAUUGAUGGAUGAAUGGAUAAACAAAAUGUGGUAGAAACAUACAAUAGAAUAUUACUCACCCUUUGAAAGGAGGAGGGCGGAUCACUUGAGGUCAAGAGUUCAAGACCACACUGACCAAUAUGGUGAAACUCCAUCUCUACUAAAAAUACAAGAGUUAGCCAGGCAUAGUGGCACAUGCCUGCAGUCCUAGCCACUCGGGAGGCUGAGGCAGGAGGACUGCUUGAACCCAGGAAACUGAGAUUGCAGUGAGCCGAGACUGUGCCACUGCACUCCAGCCUGGGCAACAGAGCAAGACUCUGUCUAAAAAAAAAAAAAAAAAGGCAGGAAAGGCAAUAGGCAGGGAGUGGUGCAGGGAGUGGUGGUGAGCUUUGCAAUUUUUGAACAGUGGUCAGGAAAGGUUUUUUGAAAAAUAUGACAUUUGAGCAAAGAUCCUGAAAGAGAUGAAGACAUGUGCAG
rnacentral:lncRNA from 10 species